UAGAAUGAGUUUGUUAAAUGCUCAGGAUGAACGCUGGCGGUAUGCUUAACACAUGCAAGUCGAACGGGAUGCUUAGGCAUCUAGUGGCGGACGGGUGAGUAACGCGUGAGAAUCUGGCUCCAGGUCGGGGAUAACAGUUGGAAACGACUGCUAAUACCGGAUGUGCCGAGAGGUGAAAGAUUUAUUGCCUGGAGAUGAGCUCGCGUCUGAUUAGCUAGUUGGUGGUGUAAGGGACCACCAAGGCGUCGAUCAGUAGCUGGUCUGAGAGGAUGAUCAGCCACACUGGGACUGAGACACGGCCCAGACUCCUACGGGAGGCAGCAGUGGGGAAUUUUCCGCAAUGGGCGAAAGCCUGACGGAGCAAUACCGCGUGAGGGAGGAAGGCUCUUGGGUCGUAAACCUCUUUUCUCAAGGAAGAAGAAAGUGACGGUACUUGAGGAAUAAGCAUCGGCUAACUCCGUGCCAGCAGCCGCGGUAAUACGGAGGAUGCAAGCGUUAUCCGGAAUGAUUGGGCGUAAAGGGUCUGCAGGUGGAACUGAAAGUCUGCUGUUAAAGAGUUUGGCUUAACCAAAUAAAAGCGGUGGAAACUACAGAACUAGAGUGCGGUAGGGGCAAAAGGAAUUCCUGGUGUAGCGGUGAAAUGCGUAGAUAUCAGGAAGAACACCGGUGGCGAAAGCGUUUUGCUAGACCGUAACUGACACUGAGGGACGAAAGCUAGGGGAGCGAAUGGGAUUAGAUACCCCAGUAGUCCUAGCCGUAAACGAUGGAUACUAGGCGUGGCUUGUAUCGACCCGGGGGG
rnacentral:rRNA from 1 species